rnacentral:tRNA from 1 species
AAUAAGAUGCCUGAGAAAAAAGGAUUAUUUUGAUAUAAUAAAAAAUGUAAAUUAAAUUUACUCUUAUUA